rnacentral:rRNA from 1 species
GACGAACGCUGGCGGCGUGCUUAACACAUGCAAGUCGAACGGAAAGGCCCUGCUUUUGUGGGGUGCUCGAGUGGCGAACGGGUGAGUAACACGUGAGUAACCUGCCCUUGACUUUGGGAUAACUUCAGGAAACUGGGGCUAAUACCGGAUAGGAACUCCUGCUGCAUGGUGGGGGUUGGAAAGUUUCGGCGGUUGGGGAUGGACUCGCGGCUUAUCAGCUUGUUGGUGGGGUAGUGGCUUACCAAGGCUUUGACGGGUAGCCGGCCUGAGAGGGUGACCGGCCACAUUGGGACUGAGAUACGGCCCAGACUCCUACGGGAGGCAGCAGUGGGGAAUAUUGCACAAUGGGCGGAAGCCUGAUGCAGCAACGCCGCGUGCGGGAUGACGGCCUUCGGGUUGUAAACCGCUUCCGCCUGUGACGAAGCGUGAGUGACGGUAAUGGGUAAAGAAGCACCGGCUAACUACGU